GACAGAGGGGGCAAGCGUUGCUCGGAAUCACUGGGCGUAAAGGGCGCGUAGGCGGGAUGGCAAGUCGGUCGUGAAAUCCUCGGCCCAACCGAAGAACCGUCGGCCGAUACCUGCCGUUCUGAGGGAUGCAGAGGAGACUGGAAUUCCCGGUGUAGCGGUGAAAUGUGUAGAGAUCGGGAGGAACACCGGUGGCGAAGGCGG
rnacentral:rRNA from 1 species